AGAGACUUCUCCGGCCAUCUGAAAACACUGCCAUUAGAGAAGGUUCUGCCUGGCUGUUUUCUUCUCUUCCCGGGAAAUAUGGCCAGAUUAUUGCUGACCUAUCUGGAGGCAACAGGAACAUGGUAAUCUGUUCUUAUUCUAAUGGAUCUUCCAUAACGUUUCCCACAAAGAAUUACUAACCAUUCAUGACCUUCAUCAAAUAACGUCUUCCACUAUAGGAAAUGGGAAUUUAAAGAUGAUCAGAAGACAGUUGGGAGCAGAGUGAGAAUAAGAACCCUCAACUGCUGUCUCACCUUUCAGAUCACGAAGAAGUUUUUUACAAUGAGCAGAACACUCAACCUGAAAGCAGAAUGGAUUGAGUCACUGCAGCGUGGCAGUGGAAUGGUGUUUGAUGUUGGCAAAGGAAACAUGUACUUCUAGACUGGACAGUUUUCCCUUAGUUUACAGUUUCCAAAUAGAGACAUCACUUUGAAAUAACAUGGAGAACAUACAUGGAUGUACUGAACGAAGAAUAAAGUCUGUGUUGCAGUCCUGUCUCCAUUGACUUUUACAAAUAUGGCUUUGGAUGAAUCACCUAAGUUUUAUUUUUGAGAAUUUACGCUUACCAUGUAUAAAAUGAUAUUGCUAAUAUGUUUGCUGCCUACCCCAUUGGGUUUUGUGAGGAAUAAAUGAUAAUGCUAAGAAAAAGGCAUUGAGAAUUAU
ensembl:lncRNA LINC00326 long intergenic non-protein coding RNA 326